rnacentral:rRNA from 1 species
UACGUAGGGGGCAAGCGUUAUCCGGAUUUACUGGGUGUAAAGGGAGCGUAGACGGCGAUGCAAGCCAGAUGUGAAAGCCCGGGGCUCAACCCCGGGACUGCAUUUGGAACUGUGUGGCUGUAGUGUCGGAGAGGCAAGUGGAAUUCCUAGUGUAGCGGUGAAAUGCGUAGAUAUUAGGAGGAACACCAGUGGCGAAGGCGGCUUGCUGGACGAUGACUGACGUUGAGGCUCGAAAGCGUGGGGAGCAAACAGG